GGAUCAGGGAGUGUUGCUUGCCCUCCUGGAACUGAAGCUGCCGUGGAAAAGACAGAAGGAAGUCAGCAAUUAUGACUUGGGAUAGGACUUCCGGAUACCCAGGGAAGCUUCAGAAGCCCGUCUUGAUGAACCCUCAAAGCAACAGUACUGUCUUCUAGUUUGCGAGCUGGCUAAAUGAUGCUUGGGGACUGGCCAUGGGGAAGACUCCUUCCGAAAUGCAGCAGUGAAGCCCAUUUUUUCCCACCUUGUUCCAAUUUUAUCACAGGCUGACAGAUGAUCCACUGAUCCUCGUGGGGAGAGAUACUGAAUGGGUGACUGUGAGCGUCAAGCGCAUUCAUGGUUGUACAGUGCUUACAGCAGUGGUAGCAGUGGUUGGUGGAUGCCGUGUGCUCAGUGGAG